rnacentral:rRNA from 1 species
UACGGGGGGGGCAAGCGUUGUUCGGAAUUACUGGGCGUAAAGGGCGCGUAGGCGGUUCGCUAAGUUGAAUGUGAAAACUCUGGGCUUAACCCAGAGCCUGCAUCCAAAACUGGCGAACUGGAGUACUGGAGGGGAAAGCGGAAUUCCUGGUGUAGCAGUGAAAUGCGUAGAUAUCAGGAGGAACACCGAUGGCGAAGGCAGGUCUCUGGGCUGACACUGACGCUCAUGCACGAAAGCGUGGGGAGCAAACAGG